ACAAAGAGUAGGGGUACAAAGCAUCUAUUCUAGAAAAGGCACAAUCACUGGCAGUAAUAAUAAAGCUGCCCCCAUAUCCUACAGCAAUGCAAUCAUAUAAGAGGCUGUAUCUACAUUGAUCAGUACAAACAUACGACAGUAUCUAUUAAUAUCCAAAUAGAUAGACUUUGCACAUUGAAGGUAAAGAAUAAUCACAAAACCCUUAUCAAAUCCAGGAAAAAGGCACUAAGCAAAACUUAAGAUGAAGAUUCAGAAUUCAUAAAAUCAGAGCAACAUAGACAGCACUAACACAGAAUCCAAAUUUGUCCAAAGCAAAAUUGAUGAUUAAUCAAUUGUGGAUGCAUUUCUCAUUGGCUAUACAACUUUUAAGGGAGACUUAGAGGACAAAGAUUGAAUCAGAA
rnacentral:misc_RNA from 1 species